GCUCCCGUAGUGUAGACCGGCCAAUCAUUUCGGCCUUUCGAGCCGAAGACUCGGGUUCGAAUGCACACAUUGCGAGC
rnacentral:tRNA from 1 species